GUAAUUGGAGAAAAGACCAGUCAGUCUGACAGGGAGCUGCCAUGUUUGGCCUCCAAGGGAAGGAAGCCCUAGAGGGGUUUACAGGACAUAUACUUGUCAUUGGGAAUUUCCUUGAUGCAGUGGUAGCUUGUAAUUAUGCUACUAGGCAAGAUACCCCUGAGAUCAUGGCAUAGAGGGGCUCACCCUAAAUUAAUAUGCUUGAAACAUAUAGCUAAUCGAAUCCUUUCAAAAACAGCUAGAAGAAGAGGGGACAGAUGUGAUAGGGAGGGAACUACACUCAAGGUAGGGUGCAGGGGCCACAUUACCUGAUCCUGUGGCCCACUAUUCACACAUCCUCUCUCUCUCUUCCUCAACAGCCGUCCCCACUGAUGGCGAGUUAUACAGAUGAGAUGAGAUUUAAACAAGAAGGUUCAGCCCAAAGGUGCCUGAAACCAGCCCAAGCUUGCUGUAUCACAGAGAUACAGAGCAAGUCCCCUGACCAAUAGCAAUGCCGAUUUGCCUGAAAAGCCACUAUGGAUUUUAUCUAUAUUCCUUAGGCAAAGGGUACAUGAUACCAGAAAUAGUAACACUACUGGGGGCGGGGGGUGUCAACUUAAGACCACAUGAAUACUGAAUGUCUCAUAUUCCUCACGUGCAUCUAAAGGUUCAUGAAUAUUUGUUGCCUCUUUGUCCUUCUGGCCUUUUCUAUGUUGAGCAAUACAUGCUUUACUAGCUUUCUCCAUGUCUAACCUGUCUCAUGGAUUCCUAACUUACUUACUUAACCUAACACACUUUUGUCAAUGUUUCAUGAGCUACUCGUUCUCCAUUAUCUAUAUCUCACAUAUCUCAGGAGUUUCAUCCAUUUUACUGUUUUCUUGUCUUCUAGAGCAGAGCUGAAUAUUCUCAAAGAAUACAGCAAAUACACAUUACAGCGUUGACUGCCUGUAUGCUGAUUCCCUUAAAUUCUAGAAGGUAUUUUUUCCACUCAUCACUUUUGCCAUCUGCCCAUCAAUGCAAUACAUGUACAGUGAACACCUACUAAGUGUCAGGCACUGAUCUAGGCUGUGGGAAUGUGUGGAAGAAGAUGAUACAGUCUAGUCUGAAAAGAUGGCAGUUUAAUACUGAAGAGAGACAAAAAAGAUCAGUACCAACAUCACAUGUCAUGGGUUUGGUAAUAAACUGGGGAGCAGAGAAGAGUGGGGCGGAAGAACCACAGGGUCCUGUCCACAGGGUGUGUAGGGGUGGGAGAGACAGUAAUAUGGCUUCUUAGAGGAUGUGGUGCCAGAGCUGCGUCUUGAGCGAUGACUGUGUUUCCCAGGCAGAGGGGAGAGGAAGGGCCAUCCAGACAGAGGGAGCAGGGUGAGCACAGCCAUGGACGUGCUGAAGGACCCCAGGCCAGGCGGGGGCAGGGAGAGGAGACCAGGCAGUGGGAUGCAUUGAAUUCUAAAAGAACAUCAGUCUGUGCCUUUACGUGCUUGACCCCAUACUCUUCAGCGUGUGAUGGGUCCCUCUCUGAAUUGUGUGAUUUAUCAUUUGGGACAUGGAAAUAAUAACCGUAAACUCAAAAGAUCAUCCUGGGGAUUGGGAGGUCGUUGAUAGAAGUGCUUAGCUCUCUCUGUCUGGUACCUAGAAAUCCUCCCCAAAUGGUAACAUCACUAAUAUAGUCAUCCAUCACAUCCCAACUUCCCAGAGGAUCGAGUGAGAUCUAAUGGGAUUUUGAUAAUCAGACUACCUGGUCAUUCAUAGAAUGCCUAGUGGUAUUCCGAGAAACAUUCGGACAGUAGCAUUUGUCCAUCCUUAGAGUAAAAUGAACUUAUAAUGGUAACCUGGAUAGGUAAUCAUACCUAAGCCAUACUCUGAAGUUCCCUAGAAAUAGUAACAAUGAUCCUAUCCUGUGAAUCCAUUAGUCUGUCCAAAAUGUAGAAGGAUGCAGUCUGUUGAAUAUUGUGACAGCUAGGAAAUUGGAAACCUGUACAUUUCUAAGUUAACAUCAUGUAAUAUUGGAAAUGCUUAUCUUGAAACAAUGGCUCGGACCAGGCGCUGGGGGAACAAUGCUGUGAGGUCCUGGCUGCCUAGCUGGGUCAAGGCUGGGGAGACAGUGACUUGUCUUUGUUUUCGGGCUGACAGAGGGACAAUGGGAAGUGUCUAGAGAUGAUUUAUGCUGCCAGCAUCUUCAAAAAUGAGAGACGAUGGAGGGAAAAACACUGCCCUGGGCGGGGCUGAUGGUGUGAGGAAAUGAUGAUUCAGUUCAUUGCUUUGACCCAAGCGGUGCUUUGUUUAAAAUUGCACAGGGCAAUUCCUUCAGCCUCAGAAAGAGAAACAACCCUUGUCAAUAAAUUAUAGCGGAUGUGGGGAAAUCGCUCCCAGGGUGAGGUCUGAGACUGAAUGAGUCCUACGAGGUCAGUGCCCACAAAAGCAGCUGCCAAAAUGUACAUUUUUCCGUUUGCCCGCUGGUUCACAGUGGAUAUAAAUCCUCAUAAUGCAGCCAUUGAGCCCCCUGUCUGCUGGCCGCGCACUGAGAUAAAGGUGGGGGAAGGGCAUACGACCCUUAGCUGCUAGAAGUGCCUGACAAACACAGGCUCUGCUUCAGAAUAACCUGGGUGCUCUUGGCAUCUUUUCUAGAUUUCGGGAAUCUUCUGGGAAAUGUCAGUCCUUGAUUAGAAAUAAUUAACGUGUACUUCACGCCCAAACUAUGUUUGGAGGACAAAAAUAUUUAAAUCUGUAAAGAUAUAUUUUAAUUAUAAAAUUAUGCAUAUAUGUAUGCUGCAAAACUUUCAAGAGAACUUAAGUGCAGACAAAAUAAAGUGAAAGCCCUUCUCUUCUUAUUUCUCUAUGAAGCCAAGGGCUUAAUGCUUCCUUUGUCUUAUUUCCUCAUAAAGAUGUGGAAGCACAGGGCUGACACUGGUCUCCGAGAAGAGCAGAGAGACUUGACUUUAGUCAUGCUGGGGGGGUGGGGACUGAUUCACACACCAAUUUUUGUCUACGACCGUUGGCAAUCCAUCUUUCUUAUGUUGGAAUAGAAUUUUCCAGUUGACAAAGCACUUUCAAGUACAUUCAACUUGACAGAUAUCCUAUAAAAUACGAGGAUGGAGAAGGGUCAUUACAUUGGAUUAGUGCUGGUUUCCCGAUAACAAAACUGAGGCUCUGAGAGCAGAGUCCUUGGCCAAGGUCACCUAGCACAAGGCAGAGCCAGAACUAGCACACUGGGCUGUGACACACCUAUUCCCUCCAGUUCCCUGAGAAGGCCAUUUGGAGGCCAGCCUGUAGUGUAUAGAGUGACUUGGGCUGCACAGAUCAGGGCUAGGGCCAGGCUCUGGUUCAGAGAAGUCUCUCAGCAAACAGGUCACCAUUAGUAUUACAGCAUCUUUAAAUAUUAUCCCUUCUACCUUUACCACUGUGACUGUAUCUCAACCCAGAUUUGGACCUAGUAUGGCUGAUGAAGCUAAUCAUACUGACCUAAAAUGAUUCUGAAGUCCAGGACAAAAAGUUUUUUUUCCCUUACCAAGAUGAUCUAUAUUUAGGGAAGUGUAACUCUUCCCCUAUAUCCCUUUCUCAUUAUUUCGAGUCAGGAAUGAUUUCGCUUGAGAAACAGUCAGGCCAGUUUCAUCUAUAACUGCAUUGGAAUGAAGAGGAUAAUGGAAAUUUUAAUGAAAACGCCAACGCAGUGAGAAUAGGAAUCAGUUCUUUUGCAAGAGGAAGCAGCGCCUUUGCUCAACAGGCAACAAAACCUUUAGUUUGUGUUCAUGAAAAUUAUGAUCAUCUCUGGCUCCACUGAGAUUUAAACCAAGGGGGAAAAAAAAGAAUUUAAGAAGUUCAGAUGCAGUUCACUGGGAAGUUUGUCUCCAGACUUUGAGAACAUUUCAAUUUUUCACAAGGGCACACAAAGCAAGAGGUUGGUGUCUUGCAUAAAAGAACCCAGAUUCUCUGGAUCACAAGGAUGCUAGUUGUCUUGCUCUGUCGCUCAUGACUAUGAAACAGCAGGAUUAGCAAUGACAUGCAGGACUCAUCCUAAUCAGCCUCAAGGGCUGUGCCACGAAUGGGACUGCACUGCAGCAACAUUACUCUUCUGUCAAUGUCUAAUGCAUGUGCUUGGUGGGUCCUACCUGGGGGGAGGGGGAGGUAGGAGUGAGAUGUGUGUUGUGUGAGUUUGGGAAACAAAGAGUCCAAGCUUGAUUAACUGUUAUGCCUAAGCCAGUCUGGGGAACCAACAACUAGAGGCUUCAAGGAGAGGUGCACAGUUUCAAAGCUGCUGCCAAGGAGUGGCAGGUGGAGGCCAUGGUGUCUGUCCACCACCCAGUCUGCCAAUGGAAAAGAGGAGAAUGCAGUUUCACAGAAGUGUCACCAUCUGAGCUCCUCAUAUUAUGUAUGGCAGAUGCUAUUCUAUCAUUUGCUAGAACAACUCGCAGAACUCAGGGAAACCCUUACUGAUAUUUACUGGCUCAUCAAAUAAUAGGGAGUAUUAUAAAGUAUACAGAUGAACA
rnacentral:lncRNA from 1 species